CACAAUUUUCAUGCUAUCUAAUGUAUUAUACAAUUGGAGGCGACAAACUCUAUAUCACAACAUAGAAUUUUAUGUCCUUUUAGCUGAUUAAUACAUCUGUGAUCUAGAGGAUAAGUUUCGGGAUUGAGGGCUCUCAACAAAUUCGAAAUCCAUUUAAAAGUUGUAAUUCAGAAGUUGUACAGCCAUUAUUCACCCUGAUGAAAGCCUUCAAAGAGAAAAAUGCUUGACAGGGGAUGUGAGUAAAAGAUGCCAAAUGUUAGACAUGUGAAGAAUGCCUGACAAGGGCUUAAAAAAGAUAGUUGCCACUGUUGUGGCAGUAUCAACGGUAGUAAAAGACUGGCAUACUGAUGAUUUCACAAGAAAAUUAGACGUGUUUUAGGAAAACAAAGUCAUUCAGAAUUAACACAUAAUUGCUUUUGAAAAUUAAUGUGCAGUUCCACAGGAAAGGAAAGCCACGGGUUUCUUGUGGUCUGAUCAGCAUUCAAAAUCUACUGGCGAUCCUUCUUUUCUUUGAAGGAAUUCCUGAUGAAGAUAUUUAGUAUCUCAUGUUGAAUCUUGAACCUGGACAUCCUGUUGUAGUCAUUAUCGAGUGAUUUGUUCGCGGAAUCAAUUUGGAAUCCAACUGUUUUCGACUCUUUACGUUGCAGCACUGUACUUUCAUUUGAAAGUAAUUCAAGCAGGUCGUCCUAAUGCAAUAAUAAUUUCGGAUUAAAUUUUUUUAUGUCUUUACAGCACUCAUGCAGCCACCAUAUAGACAUCUUAAAAACAUAUUUUAGGAUAUGCAAACUAUGGCACUAAGUUCAUUUUUAUAUGAUACUUCGCGUGUUUGUCGCAUGUGAAACAGAAUGAAAAUGGAAUGUGAUGCAUAGGUAGCAUAAUGAGGUCAGAAGAUUGCCCAACAUCUAUGGAAAAAUUACUUAGCUGAUAGUAGUAUUUUUUUCUAAGAAUGUGGAAUGUCUAUUGUGAAGGUUUAUCAGAUAGUUAUACUGACACAACCCUUCUUUUCUAGUACCAGCUACAUUUAGCAGGUUGACUUUAUUGGAGAACUGUUAAAUAUUUGAUAUUCAUAAUGUUCCCAAGGCUUUUAAGAAAAUAGUUUUCAUUACACUAGCGAUAAUUCGGAUUGGCGAGGUGCGAAAGAUUCGGAUUAAAAGUCAGCGUGGAAAUGCAAUAGGCGAGGAAAGUUUUCUGAGCUGUAUUAAUUUUUGAUACUAAGAAAUUGUUAGGUUCGUAGCUGGCAAGAAAUAAGAGGACGAUUGGUGAUGAGACAAUUUAUUCUAAUCGCUGUACCUCAUGGACACGUCGACAUUCGUGGUAAUCAAACUUAGAACGUCUGCAAUACGACAUUUUUCACCAAUUUAAAGGAAAGCUGGAAACAUAUUUUCAGCAUUGUAAUAAAAAAAUAAGCGCGUUCAUUCCCUUCAACCAAUUGCCAACGCAAGGCCCCGUAGGAAUCUCCCAUACGUCACUUUUAUUGUAGCUGACAGUGACUGUAAUUAUGGCUUACUUAGCCCAUGCUUAUCAAGAGCUGCCCUCUUGGUUCUCCGACCUAAACUAUCAUCUUCAAAAGCUUCCAGGUUUGUUAUGGUCGUAGAACAGCAGACGACGGAGAGCGUUCGGGAACGAUAUUAGUUGUGGAUAGGUUUGCUGUUGACAAGCAAGGGAAGGAUUUUUACCAAACCAGACAGGAAUGAAAUUUUUUGUGGCUGGUUUUGUUGUUGACAAGCAAGGGGAGGACAUUUUUACCAAAUAGACAGGAUAUUUAUUCUAGAUCCCAUAAUGUUUGGGUAAUAAAUCGUUAGAAAAAUGGCAAAGGAUUUCACCGUAUUAAGUAGAUGUAUCAGCAAAAAUUUAAUACUAACUCAUGUUUUUUCUUUAAUGUAGAUCACAAAUCAUACUGAAUUAGAAUAGGAUGUUGACUGAGGCUGGGUGCCAAAAGAAUGGAUGAUAAUUGUAAGCGCGAUUGGGAAUAUCCAUGAUUUUUUAAACGUUAUCUCAUGUUACGGUAUUUUAUUAAAGAUAAAUUGAAGUGCA